GACGAACGCUGGCGGCGUGCCUAAUACAUGCAAGUCGAACGCUGCUUAAGAAGAAACUUCGGUUUCUUCUUAAGCGGAGUGGCGGACGGGUGAGUAACACGUGGGGAACCUAUCCAUCAGCGGGGGAUAACACUUGGAAACAGGUGCUAAUACCGCAUACGGCUUUCUUUCGCCUGAAAGAAAGCUCAAAGGCGCUUUACAGCGUCACUGAUGGCUGGUCCCGCGGUGCAUUAGCCAGUUGGUGAGGUAACGGCUCACCAAAGCAACGAUGCAUAGCCGACCUGAGAGGGUGAUCGGCCACACUGGGACUGAGACACGGCCCAGACUCCUACGGGAGGCAGCAGUAGGGAAUCUUCGGCAAUGGACGCAAGUCUGACCGAGCAACGCCGCGUGAGUGAAGAAGGUUUUCGGAUCGUAAAGCUCUGUUGUCAGCAAAGAACAGGGAAAAGAGGAAAUGCUUUUUCCAUGACGGUAGCUGACCAGAAAGCCACGGCUAACUACGUGCCAGCAGCCGCUGUAAAAC
rnacentral:rRNA from 1 species